UGGACAAAAUCUAUAUUCGUUAACUAACCAAGAAAGCAAAAACUGUAUAAAUCAUAAUAUGGAUUAAUGUAUCCCUAAUUUUGCUAUAAUUUCAGCACUCAUUUCCACAACUCAAUUAGUUGAGGCUGGGUUACCCGCAGCCAACAAAGAUGUAACGAAGGCUACUUUCUGUAUGAGAAAGUUCUUCGGAGAAACUGAAUCAAUGAAAAAUUUCCUAAAAAAUGGACACAUUCUAACAAAUGGAGAAUAUUUAGGAGUUAUUUGCAAAGAAGUUAUGGAUGCCGAGCUUUAUGAAAUGAUCCGCAAAAAUGCUGCGGAAGACUACGACGGUAAAACCAUCAAAGAAUGUCUUGCGAAGUCAAAUGGUAAAAACCUAUUUCAAAAAUUCGUCGCAUUAGGACAAAAAUUUUUGGCUUCGAAGCGUAAACCAAUGAUUGAAACAUCAGAGAGUGACGAAUCUCGUCAGAAGCCCUCAUCAGUACCAAAUUCAGAAUCAUUACUGGAUAUUCCAGCAAUGAAUUUUUACAGGGGAGUGUGUGAUUCUCCAAUAAAAGCUCUCGAUUUCAGUGAACUAAAAA